GGAUGGCAUCAUUUGAUAGUUAAAACUGAGGUGGUAUAGGAUGGGCAUGCGUCUGAUUAGUUAGUUGGCGGGGUAAUGGCCCACCAAGACGAUGAUCAGUAGGGGUUCUGAGAGGAAGAUCCCCCACACUGGCACUGAGAUACGGGCCAGACUCCUACGGGAGGCAGCAGUAGGGAAUAUUGGUCAAUGGAUGCAAGUCUGAACCAGCCAUGCCGCGUGCAGGAAGAAGGCCUUCUGGGUUGUAAACUGCUUUUGCCAGGGGAUAAAAUUUCCAUGCGUGGAAAACUGAAGGUACCUGGUGAAUAAGCCACGGCUAACUACGUG
rnacentral:rRNA from 1 species